AACAUCGUCAGAGGCGGACGAAAACUCUCCCAUCCGGCCGUCCCACACCGCACCUGUUCACGGCUAAAAUUACGGGCCUGCUCCUCAAUCCCCGUGUCUUCUCCUGGAAAAAAAAGGAAGUACUACCCGCCUGUAGCCCGCAUCUCUCGCGAACUCCGCCCAACCCGCCGCCGCCGCCGCCCGGCCUGGUGCAUGCCAUCCCUGCCGCCCCGCCGCUCCUCCUACACGCCGCCGUCGCACACCUCUAGACGUCGGCCGGUGUAUCGCGGGUCGUCGUCUGCUCCUCCUCUGCGGUCUCGCCUCAUAGCUCUGUCAGACUUGAGGGAGGAGGUGUCGAUAUGAGUCGCGAGCGAUCCCAUGGAGCGGCCAGCCGGCUAGACGGUGUCUACCUAGCCCCGGGAACACGUCGAACCACAUCAAGGGACAGGGGAGGCUUGACAUAACCGAGUUCGUUGGUCAUGGCGGCAAACAGAGCCGGAGCUUGCGGAGCGGCGGUUACAGGUCGAGGAUGAAGACUAAGAGAGAGGGGAAAGGAGGCAGAGAUAACCACGAGGAGGUUAGUGCUGUCGGCAAGACCGGAGAAGGCAGGAGCACAAUUAAUCGACGACGGUGGCUUAUGGAUGGUGUCAGAGAAGAUGACGUCGCGUGCUCUGUGCAGGGCGUCGCAACUCGAUUCGUUCGGCGUGGAGGAUCAAGAGGGCGUGGCGGCUCUCCUGGCGGCUCUCCCGGAUGCUACGGCUUGUCAGGGAUAAACCGCUGGCCAUGGCGCGUGGCGAAGAGGGAGUUCGAUGAUGAGCGGAGGGCGCACCAGAUCGAGGCAGGUCACAAAUGUAUUGACUCUCCCUGGCGCAUCGGCAGUUACAUCUAGCACACGCGGCAGCCAGUGUGUCUGACAGGCGGCUAUAGGAUGCGUGCGGCAGCCUGGGCGUUCGCGUUGUGCUGGAAGCGCAGUGCCGUGCACGCCAGCCAGUGCAUCAACGACCGGCUAGAAGAGGCGUGCGACAGCCUAGGCGUUCGCAUUGUGGUUGCUGUGCAGUGCCGUAUGGCCGGCCGGGCCAACCAGGACGCGCAGGGCCGGAGCCAGCUAGGUCGUUCCGCGGCCGGCGGAUUUGGGGCGCUGCAGCCGCCCGGCGUGCUGCGUGUGUGAUGUUGUCCGCGUGUUGUGCAUUAGUGUUGUCUGGCAGAGGCACGCGCAGCUGGCCAGCGUGUGUGAGGUGCGUGUCUGCGGCUGCCGGCAGGUACAUGCGGCUUGCUUUGUUCAGCCCUUUCAGUUGAGCUGAGUCCUGGUAUCCUUGGGAACAUUUUUGAUGAAAUCCAGUUUAUGAUGAUUUUGGGCAUACCAAGCUUAAAGAAGAUAUCUCACAAAUGCAUCGUGUCUAGCUUUUUAGCCUUGCAAAUUAGAGGUAUUGAUUGAUACAUGCAUAUUAUUGGAAUAUUUGGUGCUUUGAAAAGACUAUGGGUGGAGUUAACAAACUGACUGAAUGUAUGAAAGAAAUCCAAGACUCUUUGUCAGCUUCUCUUGGAGCUUCUGCUAAUUUCAACAAGGUAAUAUUUAAGAUUUAUUACAAUCUUGUAUUUAAUUAUUUUAUCUGAAUCACUUACAUCUAUACUAUUACACACACAAAAACUUGCAUGAUUAAACAGAGGAGGAACUUAAAGAAUUGGAGUCUACUUGCUGAUUUCAUAGGACUAAUUCACUGGUGCACGAUGAAUGCUCUAGCAUACACAGGUGGAUUUUCCCAUAUAAUUGUAAUAUUAAUGAAGACGUGCGUUGCACGUGCACGCUUACUAGUAGGAAGGAAGGAGAAAUUAAAGGAAGGUGCAGAGUUUCUAUGUGUGCACGUAGGUGGCUGUUGAGAUUUCCUCUUCUGCGAGUUGUGAACGUAGGCGAGGGGUUAGUUGGUUGGGAGAGAUGGGCCACUUCGGCCAGGCCCAUGGGGAAGAAAAAUAUAGAGAAGGAGUGGUUGGGUAGGAGGGAACUCCUAUGUGACAUUUUGCGUCAACUAGGUGCGGCUUCGCACAGGGGCAGCUGACUGGCGGGCUUUGUGGGCCGCUUGGCGCGCGCGAACUGUUUUUGAACUGUUUCAAGCGUUUCGUUGUUUCUGCUUCGCGAAGCUGUUCCACUGAUUGCUGUCCCUGCUGUUUUCCACUGUUUCUACUGUUAUCUAACAUAUAAAGCCUCCUAGAGUACCCGCCGUUCUAGCGCAUCUACAUCGCGAGAUGAAUCUGGUUCGAACGAUUUACCGUGCAGCGUCCUUUUCACCUUGCUGUUAAACAUCUAGACGUUCGUUUUGCUGCACGCUAUGAAUUCGGGUUAGAGUGGAUGGCGACUGGGCCACCCUUUCGCGUGGACCAGCAUUGCAGUGUGUGUUCCGCGUGCGUGUUCGGGUCAGAGAAGGGGUGGGAUACAGCGCUCGUCCAGUAAAAGACCUAGCCCGCAAGCGUCCCUCCCUCCUCCUCCACGACCUCCCUCCUAGUCGCCGCCGCCUCUCCUCCUCUUCCUCCUCUUUCUCCCGUGCCGCCGCCGCUUCUGCUCACCUUCCUCCUCUUUCUCCCGUGCCUCUGCCGCCGCUCCUCCUCCUUCUACUCCCUACGCUAGCGCGGUUGGGUCAUCGGGUGAGCAGCGGUAGGCAUCUGUAGUGUGUCGGAGUGUGCGGAUGAUGACAGCGGCACGCAUCUUGGUGAGGCAGCGGCCACGGCUGCACCCUUCUCUGCGCUUCCUCUCGAAGUACCCUCUGCUGCUCGUCCUUCGUGUGUUGCCGCACGGUGGAGACAGGUACACGAACUAGGCAGGCCACGGGACGACAGCUGCUCGAGCACCCACCUCAUGAGGAGGGGUUGAGUACAGCUCCCAGUUCAUGGAGGAGAUGCCAGCACAGGGUUUGGUGGCAGAAGUCACUGGAUGCAUGCCCAAGAAGCCCAGCACGGCCAGAUCAAAUCACCCAGGAAAGUUACGUGUGUGCAAGCUAGCUAGACAAGCACACAAGCAAACUGCUGGAUUGAUGAACAGUAGGGUUCAACAUAAUAUAGUACUCUGUAUAGCAAAAAGCUCUCUUUCUCUGAAGUACAGGCAGCCCACGAGCAGUAGUAAGCAGAGCAAUAGCGAGCGGCCAAGUAAGCAGCAACAAGCUUGUGGCCUAACCAUGUGGCCCGGACCAAAAUGGUCUCAUGUGGCAGCACCACAACCGUCUCCAGCAACGGCUAGAAUGAGAAAAACCGGCGCUGACAAAGAAAAGAAGGCACAAGAAGGCAAUGGCAGCUUCUCACCCUGCUGUUCGUGGCAAUGCCUGAUGGCACAAGAAGGCAGUGGCAGCUUCUCACCCUGCAAAUAUGGAAGAAGUAGGAGAGACCUGCGGCUUCGAAUCCUUGGUCCAGAGGAGAAGCAGAGCCCGUCAUGGUUCCUGGAGUUACUCGGGGAGGAGGACGACCGCUGUGGCGUCGCAACGGCAGCUGACAAAACAAAGGAAGGCGGCCUCGGUCCAAAAGUUUGUUGCAUGCUCGGUGUCCAGGAAUCGAACCAGAACGACGGCCGGAGCUGAACAGAGUUAGGGAAACUACCUAGGAUCAAGGACUCACUCGAAAAAUGAGGCGAUUCAUGGCGGCGUCCUGCAGGCCUGCAUGUUGGACCGUGGGGCGUGGACGUCGAGCCGGAUGGAGGGCUGGUGGAUCCCGCCUAUUCCUAUGGCUGGCGUUGCAGCGGCGAGCGGCGGCGUCCCCGGCGAGCUCGACCAGAAAGAGGAUCCAGAAGGAAGAGGGAAUGGAUUGAGGAGGGAGGUAGUGGAGUAGGAGUAGGAGUAAAACGUGAAGGGGCAGAGAGUUGCGUGCGCGUGUCCCACGAGCUGGCGCUGCCAGCCUGACUGGUGGGUUCACGAGAGGGACCAAUUGGUCAGUAGCAAAGGGAAAGGUUGAAAGAAAAAUAAAAAAUAAAAAAAAUGAAAAUGACUGGAAUAUCUCCUCUACUCCCUCAUAAUCUACUCAGGAUUAAUUUCAGUGCUCAAAGCUCAUCAGAAAUAUCUUGGAAAAUUUCACAUAUGCUACUAUGUAUAUAAUAUAACUUUGUGAAAAUGUCCAAGACUUUUCAGGAGUAUUUGACUACCCUUUUUCAGAUUUAAAUUCAAAUAUGCCCCAAGUUCGGGUUUGAACUGUAAGCCGGUGAUAUGAAAUUCCGAAGUUCAUUAAUCUUUUACUAGAGUUUGUAAAUAACACACCAUGGAGUAUGCCUUAGACGUGUCAAAGUAUUUUAAAAUUUUGUUUGCAGACAACUCUUGGUUUGGAUCAGUUUUUUGCGUCUUAGAAAACAUGUAUCAUCACGAAUCAUCUAUCUAUCAUCAAUCCAUACUUAUUUUCAUAUGUUUCAUUUUGUGUCUAUAUGUUUUAAUGCACACUCUUUCAACACUUGGCUUGCACUCGGCCUUUGCGCCAUUGGCGCAACGGGUCAUCUAGUGAAGUGAACAAUGGAAGUAAAGCAAAGAAUGGUAUAGUUUCUUCUGUUCCACUGUUUCUACUGUCUCCCAAAGAAACAUGAAACAGAAAAUCUUGUUCCAGGAACAUUAUUCUGAACAUAGAAUGGUAUAGUUUCAUGUCUCCCAAAGAAACAUGAAACAGAAAAUCUUGUUCCAGGAAUAUUACAGAACAUUACAAAACAACGUUUAUUACAACUUGAUGAAAUUAACUGAUAAUAGUAUCACCAAGGUGUCAUGAAAGACUGAAAAAAAAUGUACAUGUCUUACUACUUGUAUUCAAUACUUUUUCAGCUGUUUACAGCUGAAGGUCUUGGAAGAAACUUGAACUAGACCAGCAAGAGAAAAACAGAUUGCUCUAUCGGUAAGGAAACUUUUUUGCCAUGGAAGUAUUCCUUGGAGUUGAAUCUUGCAGUGCACUUCCCUUGAAGGUGGCAGUAUUAAUGAGACCCUUGAGAAUAGAUAGAAGAAUUUGAUGAAACGUAAAUGCGAUUAGAAGAAAUUAAUUUCACUGUUUGGAAUGAAAGAACAGGCUCUAAGAAAAUAACAUCUCUUUUGUUUCCAUAGGAGAAAAAAAUAGAGAACUUACAUGUCGCUGCAGGAAAGAAGUUACUAACGGCAGUUGAAUUUCAUUGUGCUUGCAUGUUACAAUCUCAAACAGGAAUUUUUGACGUAGAGCUUGUAAAUCAUCCUACAGUAUUUUAGAAAAAGUGCAGUUUAAUUCCUGAUAUGUUCCAAGUAAUGAGCAAAAAACGGAAAAAAUGUUUAUAGCUUACAUUAGAGAAACCCUGCAAUUCAAGACCUUUGUACUUGCUAACAUGCUGCAGAAUGAAAAUUCCUGAGUCAUACCUGUGAGAAAAAAUAGCACAAUCAGUUCCAUACUCAAGAUGGAAAUUAUUGUUAAUUUAAAAUACUUCUAAUCUGUUUUUUUAGGAGAAAGAUCCAAAAAUUUGCCCGUGGCUCGUACAAAUCUUGUAAAACUGGAGAUUUCCAUGAAAAACCCACCUGAAAUUGACCUUGGGAGCUGGUACAAAUCUUGAUUCGAAAUUACCUAUGUUGGAAGAAGUAGAAUUUCCAUAUGUAGCAGCAAACAAGACCUUGAAGUUGUAGAUGACCGCACUAAUUGUUGGUAGAAAUGUAUCACCACUGUAGUACGGGUUCAUGAUAUCAAAAAAUUUGGUUCUGAAGUUAGCAGUGAUUAAAAUCCACUGUUUUUCCUUUAAUACGGGCAUUUUUACCUAGGGAAUUGUGGAAAAGAAAAAUCUAUUAGUCUAACCUCUUUCAACAAGAAAAAUCAAUAAGAAACAGUUUGUACAAAAAGAACUUAUCUUACCAAGGAAGCAUUCAAUAAACUGAAGCCAACAUUACUUUCCUGUAAGAUUAGUUUAUUUGCAAGAUCUGAAUGAUUUAGCAUUGGGUUCAUUAGCUUCUCCUGCAUGUUUGUUUCCAAGAAAAUUAUUGAUAGUUAAGAAAAGGAAAUGUCAAUGGUGUGAAAAUGAAAACAGAGGAAAAGAAUUUAAAAAAUAGGCUGACCAUGUCGUCAAUGCUAACUAUGUGCUCCACUAUUUCACUGUUUGUUAGGAGGCCUUUUCUUCCUCGGUUCAGCUGGUCUUUGUUCUUUAGUUUUGAAAAACAGGCAACAACCCGAGGGUUUAUCCAACCACCAGGCUUGAAUGAUAGAGUUACGGUUUUCUGAUCCGCCCAAACUCCUUCAAUCUCAAAGAUUCUUUGGCUAUUAAUGGCAGAAGAAUAUCAUGAAGGAAAGUGAAAAUAAAUCAUGAGAAAAAAUUAAUUCUGCAAAACAGAAGAGCAGUACAUAGUAUCACUCAUAGUUACAUUAUACACAAAAAAAGAAAGAAUGACAGUGAAUAAUAUCAAAAACAUUAAUAAAAGAAAAAGAAGUAACAACAAUCGAAUAUUAUGAAAAGUAUCAACCUAAUAUGUGUUCAUCUUGCAAGUUUCACCUUGUAUUGCUAGGUUAACAUAGUAUAUCAAAAACUAUAGUCACAUCACCUAGUAUCACUUAAAAAACAAACUUGGCUUUCAAGAUUGAGGUAUACAAUUUCAAAGAGUGUCGCUCCCUUGAACUGCUACAGUUUACAAGUGUUCGCGUGUUGAAACAUUGCGAGUCCUUGGACCAGGUGUUCUUCUCAGAGGUGGAGCUGUCAGACACUGAUGAAAGCAAUGACGAGAGUGAGCUUUCCUCCAUCAGGAACGCAGACGAUAAAUGUUCAUCCAUGUUACUGGAGAAACCAAUGAUCCUAGACUAGGGAAAACAUGUUAUGCACUGGAAGCUGGAAGCAGCAGUUCUAUGCCACCAAUCGCUCCCGCAAGAAGAGAUAUAAAUGAAGAGAUGCCAACUUAUUGCCAAGAAAGCAGAAGUGAUGAAGGAGUAAUUCAAAUGCAAGAAGGAUAUGUAGCCCUAACACCCAAUUUUUCUAAAAUUUAUUUUCUAAAUUUUAUUUUCUUCUUCUUCUGUUUCAUUGUUUUUCUAAAUUUUCUAAACAAUUCACAUUAUUUUA